rnacentral:rRNA from 1 species
GGCCUUUUGAAUUUAAUUUAAGGUCUGACCUGCCCAGUGAUGAAUUUAACGGCCGCGGUAUAUUGACCGUGCAAAGGUAGCAUAAUCAUUAGUCUUUUAAUAGAGGGCUGGAAUGAAUGGUUUAACGAGGAACUAGCUGUCUCAUUUUAUUUGUUUUAGAAUUUAAUUUUUUAGUUAAAAAGCUAAAAUUUUAUUGGAAGACGAGAAGACCCUAUAGAUCUUUAUAUAAUUUUAUUUAUUUAUUUAUAUAUUAAUGUAAUUAUAUUUAAAUUAUAUUUUGUUGGGGUGACAAAAAUAUAUAAUUAACUUUUUUAUUUAUUUACCAUUUAUAUAUGAGUAUUAGAUCCAUUUUUAGUGAUUGUUAGAAUAAGUUACCUUAGGGAUAACAGCGUAAUCCUCCUCCAGAGUUCAUAUUUACAGGAGGGCUUGCGACCUCGAUGUUGGAUUAAGAUAAUAAUUAGGUGUAGCCGCUUAAUGUAUAGGUCUGUUCGACCUUUAAAUUCUU